rnacentral:rRNA from 1 species
GACGCACGCUGGCGGCGUGCUUAACACAUGCAAGUCGAACGAAGUGGCGCACGGGUGAGUAACGCGUAAUCAACCUGCCCUUCAGAGGGGGACACCAGUUGGAAACGACUGCUACUACCGCAUACUUAAGGAGGGGCAUGCUUCUGAGUAGCUAGUUGGAGGGGUACCGGCCCACCAAGGCGAGUAUCAGUAGCCGGUCUGAGAGGAUGACCUGCCACAUUGGGACUGAGACACGGCCCAGACGCCUACGGGAGGCAGCAGGGGGGAAUCGUCCGCAAUGGACGAAAGUCUGACGGAGCAACGCCGCGUGAGUGAUGACGGCCUUCGGGUUGGAAAGCUCUGUUAAUCGGGACGCGGUACCGGAAUAGAAAGCCACGGCUAACUACGUGCCAGCAGCCGCGGUAAUUC